rnacentral:rRNA from 1 species
GACGAACGCUGGCGGCAUGCUUAACACAUGCAAGUCGAACGAAGUGGCGAACGGGUGAGUAACGCGUAAUCAACCUGCCCUUCAGAGGGGGACAACAGUUGGACACGACUACUAAUACCGCAUACUGAAGGAGGGGCUUUCGUCUGAUUAGCUAGUUGGAGGGGUAACGGCCCACCAAGGCGAUGAUCAGUAGCCGGUCUGGGAGGAUGAACGGCCACAAUGGGACUGAGACAGGGCCCAGAGUCGUACGGGAGGCAGCAGUGGGGAAACUUCCGCAAUGGACGAAAGUCUUACCGAGCAACGCCGCGUGAGGGAUGAGGGCCGACGGGUUGUAAAGCUCUUUUAAUCGGGACGCGGUACCGGAAUAGAAAGCCACGGCUAACUACGUGCCAGCAGCCGCGGUAAUAC